UACGAAGGGGGCUAGCGUUGUUCGGAAUUACUGGGCGUAAAGGGCGCGUAGGCGGUUUGUCAAGGCAGGCGGGAAAGCCCCGGGCUCAACCUGGGAACCGCGCUUGAGACUGGCAGGCUCGAGUUCGGGAGAGGAUGGUGGAAUUCCCAGUGUAGAGGUGAAAUUCGUAGAUAUUGGGAAGAACACCGAUGGCGAAGGCAGCCAUCUGGACCGACACUGACGCUGAGGCGCGAAAGCGUGGGGAGCAAACAGG
rnacentral:rRNA from 1 species